UACGUAGGGGGCAAGCGUUGUCCGGAAUCAUUGGGCGUAAAGAGCGUGUAGGCGGCUUGGUAAGUCCGCGGUGAAAGUCCAGGGCUCAACCCUGGAAUGCCGGUGGAAACUGUCAAGCUUGAGUCCGGAAGAGGCGAGUGGAAUUCCUGGUGUAGCGGUGAAAUGCGCAGAUAUCAGGAGGAACACCAAUGGCGAAGGCAGCUCGCUGGGACGGUACUGACGCUGAGACGCGAAAGCGUGGGGAGCAAACAGG
rnacentral:rRNA from 1 species